UACGGAGGGUGCGAGCGUUGUCCGGAAUCAUUGGGCGUAAAGGGCGCGUAGGUGGCCCGGUCAGCGUGCGGUGAAAGCUCGGGGCUCAACCCCGAGUCGGCCGUGCGAACUGCUGGGCUCGAGCACUGUAGAGGCAGGCGGAAUUCCGGGUGUAGCGGUGGAAUGCGUAGAGAUCCGGAAGAACACCGGUGGCGAAGGCGGCCUGCUGGGACGUGACUGACGCUGAGACGCGAAAGCGUGGGGAGCAAACAGG
rnacentral:rRNA from 1 species